AGAUUCACUCCAACAACUAGCACACUCUUAGCUUCUCCAGAAGAAGGACAACGAGCACGAAGAAGAUGAAGAUUCUCUGCUGACUCUUGUACUUGGUGUGGUUUGUGCUGACCAGGAACCUCAGUCAGAGACCGAUCACUCACUGACUCCAGGAGAAUGGUACACCACUUCCAUAGCAUCGGAUGACACAGAGAAGAUACAAGAAAAUGGCCCACUAAGGGGUUAUAGCCGUCGGAUUGAAUGUAUCAGCAAUUGCAGCGCAGUUGCCAUUACUUUCUAUCAAAAGAUUAAUGGGGAAUGCCGGAAGUACAUAGUAGUGGGAACAAGCACAAAAGAUGAUAUUUACAAGGUUGACUUCUUAGGUGAAAAUUAUUUCCAAUUUAUUUUUAAGUCAAGUGACAGCUUGGUAAUAUACGGUGAAAAUGUUGAUGACGAAGGCAAGGUCACACUUGUGACUGAACUCCUUGCAAAAGAACAUAGUGUCAGUGAACAAGAUUAUCAGAAAAAGAACUGACUGAGGAGAAGGGUAUUCCAGCAGAAAAUAUAGAAGACAUCAUCAACACAGAUGACUGUCCUAACUAGGAACAUCGGUUGAGAAGACAAUGACAUGGAGAAUAUAAGCAACGUCAUCUCCAAUGCAUCAGAGUCAUCGAUACAAAGAUAAAAUAGCCUUUUCUUUCAAAUUGUAAUUUCUUCUUCCCUGGGAAAUCAUGAUCCUGUCCUCGUGACUUUACUUCCAGUCACCUUCUAUGCCCUGCUUGAUGUUACUGGAUUCCUAACUGAUUAAAUAAAGUGAUCAAUAUGCA